UUUGGAUAUAUACCAGCAGUGGAACUGCUGGAUCAUCUGGUACUUCUAUUUUUAGUCUUUUGAGGAACCAGAGCUUGAAGUUUUGAUAUUCAACUACACUAGAAUUUCAGUUUACUGAAAUGAAACUGUCUCAGAGACAAAAAAGGCCCAGAAGAACUACAAGACCUGCUUGAGAUUUUAUUUAGGGAUAGGAAGAAAGAGAACAGCCCCAAAAGACAGGGAAAAAGUGAAGUUGACUUCUGUUUGCAUAUUGAGUCCAGGUGGAACCAUAAAACGGUCACAUCUGUGUAAAGUGCUGGCACACAAGCUGCACCACCCAUCUCCCCUGGACCCUGGGAAAAGCUGAUUCCAAGGCCCCCUUGGCUCUGUUCCAGCCCUGGAGGUGCUUCCCCUUCCUAGGAAGGCCUUGCUCAAGACUGGAGGCUGAGAGCAGUAAAACUCGUCUGCAAAUGUUGCCUCAGCCUCAGGAAUUUACACUUGCCCCUCUGCCGUCUGCCGAACAUUCCUGCCUGAAAUUCCAGCUGAACCAAGAAACAACUGCUCUGUGAAGGCCCCACGCCUGGCAGGGGCUGGCAGGCCUCUCCCAACUUCCGAAUUGCUGUCAGAGGCCAUGAUCUCACUUCCUCAGCCCGCUCCAAUGUGGAUGCUGUGGGGACACAGGGCUCAGCUCUGGCUCAGACCCCCACGGGCUGCCCAGCUGGCUUAGGGAGGCCACGGCCAUCACCUGCUCCCUGCUCUAGAGAGUCACACACCGCGCCCUUGUUCAAAAUCAAAUGCACAGAGCAAACACCUCGUUCCAGGAGAGCUGGGGCUGGAGGGUGUUCUACUGGCUCAGCUUUUGGAUAAGGUAGAAGGGAGGAAAGGAGCUGCCAUUUAUUUGACACUUCCUUGGGCUGGGUGCCUGAUGUGGGCUGUCCUACACUCCUGACAACAGCCAUGUGACGUGGAUAGUUUUUCAAACCUUACAGAAGAGGAGAGAGGUCCCCAAAGUUAGAAAACUAGCAAGUGGCAGGGUUGCAUUUUCCACGUUCUUUCCACAGCAUUAUGCGAUUCUGGAUAUGGUACCGUUCUCACACUAACAUGCUUCUCAGCAGCUGUAAAUUCAAAAUUGUUUUUCUGGCAUGGAAUAUUGAAUGGAGUCCUGCAGUGUUAAAGAGACAAGGGCUGGGGUCAGCCUGCCUGAGCUCCACCUCUUGGGAGCUGUGUACCUGUAAAGGAGUUACUUAACUUCUCUGAACCUCCGUUUCCUUAUUUGUAAGGAAUAAUAAUAAUAAUAACAGCACCUUCCCAGAGUUUUCAGUGAAGCAGGUUAAGGAUCUGGCAUCAUCACUGCAGUGACUCAGGUCGCUGCUGUGGCGCAGGUUCGAUCCCUCGCUCAGGAAUGUCUGCAUGCUUUAGGUGGGGCCAAGAAAAAAAUAAAAGCACCUUCUCCAUGCAUCGUAAAGAUGACAUGUAAGAACGCGUGGGAAGUGCCAGUCCAGAGCUUGGUGUGCUGUAUGUGUUCAGUAAUUUUAAAAACUGAAGUUUUAGUUGAUCUACAAUGUUGUGUUAGUUUCGGGUAUACAGCAAAGUGAUUCAAUUAUAUACAUACAUUUUUUUUUUUCCUUAUAGGUUACUACAACAUAUUGAGUAUUGUUCCCUGUGCUACACAGUAGGUCCUCGUUGAUAAUUAAUUAUCACCUGUGAUUACCCUUAUCCCAGACCAGUGAGGGGGUGGAACAGAUUGUGGUUACUCCUUGUUGACAGAUGAUUAGGACUCUGAAGUUCAAAGGUUAGAUGAUCUCCAGAGUCAGAGAAAUGGCCCUAAUCCCUGGCCUGUGUCUCCGAACACUGCUAGCUCCCCCAAGGGUCCCCUUUCACCCUGGGAGGUCCCCCAGGGGUUUCUGAUCAUUUGCCAACACACUCUCCCAUCACAGCCCCCCCUCAGCAGGAGGCAUUGAGCCAUGUGCAAAGAUGGAGAAGGUUCUGUAGGUGGCUGGUGCUGCAGGCUACCAGGGAAUGCUGGUUCUAUGUGCUCGGUAUCUGGGGAGAAGUUUGCAGGGGUGGGACGAGGUGGCUGCUUGGAAGAGACAAAAAGUACGGAAGGCUUCAUAGGCAAAAACUGUCCCCACUCCUCUGCCCCAAUCUCUGUAAGAUUCUCUCUCCCCUGACAAUAAAGUUCUUGACAUCAUUUCAUGUCACGUUAAAUUUUUUCCUAGAUCCCUCCAUUUGAUCCCUUGAAGUAUUACACUAAGCUUCUCUCCCCUGGCAGCCCCUAAACACUCUCCAACUUGUAUGCUGUCAGCUCUGUUUCCCCCUGGUUAAGCUGGGGAUCCCCCCACCACCCAUCCCCAAGUGGCAGCCAGCCCACAUUUGCACAUCUGGGCAUCUGGACAAUUGCCACCUUGGACGCUGCGAACAAUAGCAAAUCUACAAGCCAGCAGAAGAAUCCAGCUCGUUCUGAGUAAAAAUAACCUGUCAAAUCAAUUACAGUGGCAGAGCCAAUUAGGGUGACCGCAGGGGAAUAAAUAUGCAGUGUUUAACUUAAUCAUCUUUCUGUUCCAACGGCACUCUGGCGGGGCUGCAUGACUAAGGCAAAUGACUGUUGUAUAACUGAUAUUUUUAUUCUUUGCCCCUUCUCUUUAGAAAGAGAAGCUGUUAGAUUUCAUUUCCUUCCACGUGGGAGAAUAAAAGACAAAGGGAAAAAAAGACUGUCGCUGAACCUGUACAUAUGAUAAGAUAAAAUGUCUAAGACCCUCCAUUGUGAAUAAAUACAUGUGAAGCUAGUCAUUAACUACGUGACCUUAGGAAAUAAAAAGAGAAAGAAAGUCGUCCCAGGUAGGAAGACUGGCACGAACAAAGGCAUGAAGGGAUGACAAUGCAAAGCGAGUCUGGAAAAAGUGAGAAGUCCAGAGAAGCAGGGUAUGGCCCAAGGGUACUGAAGGCCUUCAAAACUCUGGCCACUCUGCAUUUGUGAGUACAAGUCCGUCUACCUUCUGUGAAAUCCAUACGGGGAAGAAAAUCCUCUGGUGAAGAUAUCAUGAGGAGCUGACCCACAGAGAAGAGUGGACCGUCUUCGCAGGGUGCACAGGGGUUUCCCUCCACUGGACCAGCUGCUGCCCCCACCCCCUUCCCUGCAAGCCUGCUGGCAACAAAACUGGACGUGAGCACCCCAAACCAUAGCUGUGCCCUUCACACUCCUUCCAUGAGCCUGUUUCCUGGAUGUGUUAUGACUGCUGUGUACUUCCGGCAGGACCCAGUGGCCUUGAGCCAGAGCAGCUCUGGGCCAGGCCCCAGCCCUCACAGGAUGAGCAGAGUAGACUCAGCUGCAGGGGCCGGCAGCUGUGGGCCACACAGGAGGGCCAGGCCUGGUGCUCAGGUCAACUAAUGGGUAUGCAGUCCUCGGUGGGUGCCAGGCACAGUGCUGGGCCCCCCAAUGGGAAGGGUGACCCAAUAUCCUGCUGUCUAAGUGCCUCCUUAUACGCACUGAUUGGUCUGUGAACCAAGGCAAGGUAGGACUUGGAGGUGAAACCAGUAGCUCCACAUGGGAGGAGUGGGAAAGGUAGAAACAGGAGCUGGCACAGGAACCUUUCUAGGUGAAAAAAGGCUACCAGCAAGGCUCAACCCAGUGUUCAAAGGAGGACUGUCAGGCCCUGGGGAUGGGUCAGGAAGAAUGGCUAGCUAGGAUCACCAUAUGAGCAAUAGUUGAUCGUUUGCAGAGCACAUUCUGUAUGUGCCCUCAAACGAUGCUGUGAAGCAGGUCCCGAUCCACCCAGAGGCAGAUGCAGAAAGAGGCAGUCCUGUCUGCCCCUCUCCCAACUCUUUCAGGUGGAAGCAGGGGUUUACACCCAAGAGAGGAAAGAACCCUGGAUUAGAAGGGAGAGGGGUCGGGCCUAGAGUCUUGGCAGCUCGUGCCAUGGGCACAUGGGCAACUCUCUUAACCCUUCUGAACCUCAGUCUUCUCGCCUUUAAGAUGGGGCCAAGCAAAUAACUUAGAAGUGAGCUAAGGGUGGUUCAUAUAAUGUGUGGUGUCAUUCCCCUGCCUGACACUCUCCAAGGGCUCCCCAUCUCAGUCAGAGAAAAAUCCAAAGGGCUCACCCUGGCCCAGGAGCUUGCAUGGUCUGCCUCAUCCCUCCCACUGCCCCUCUGACCUGAUCUCCCACCCUGCCCUGCUGUACCCGUUUUCCAAACACACCUGGCUCCCUGCAACCUCAGGGCCUUUGCACGGCUGUUUGCCUUGCCUGGAGCACUCUUUCCCUGGUACAGCACCGUCUCACUUCUCAGGUCUUUGUUCAAACAUCAGCAUCUCAGGGAGGCCCUUCCGAGAACCUCCUAAAAGGUACCAUCUCUUCCCCAGACACUUUGUCUCCUCCCUCCACUAAAAUACUAGCUCCAUGAAGGGAGGACUUUUUCUGUUUUGUUCUCUGCUUGUACCUCCAGUGGCUGUAUAAUGCCUGGGGACACAGAGUAGAUGCCCCAUCAAUAUUCUCUGAAUGAAUCAAAUAGAAUCAGUAAAGAGGGCUUAGUCCUGUUAUCCUAGAGUCUAAAGAGCCAACCCCAUUUCUAACAUCCUGACCCCACUAAGGCCAAGGUCUUGGGAUCUUCAAAGCAUGAUCUCACAGAGGAAAGUGUAGCCUCUUCUCUCUCAGCUGUUCUGAAACCUCAGUUUGAUAAAACAGAGCAUCAAUUUAUCAUGCAGCGGAUGGCUGCAUUUUGAACAUCAUGCUAAUGGCUUUCCAGUGAGAAAAUGGGCACUUAGCCCCUGUCAUCAGAAUCAAAUGGGGUGAGAGAAGCUCCUUCAAAUGCCCAUUUUCCUAAAGGGAGAAACAGUCAGUUUGCAAGAAACAGGCAGUUUUUUACGACUAGCAGCGGUGGCAAGCCCAGCACCCUCCCGUGUGUCUGUCCAACAGAGGAGCAGGUUUGGAGUAGGACUAUGUCUCCCUCCCUGAACUUGACUGGCAAGCACUUGAGAGCUGCAGCCGGCUGGGAGAACGCCGGCUGACCCUGCGACCGCGAGAGUCCCAGGAGUGGGUUCCUCUGGGGAUCCUUUUUAAAGCUGAUUGUUCCCUAAGUGAUAGUGCAUUUUUAAUCUCUUCCUUUUGAAGACCAGUCUUUUUCCUUAAAAGGAGAGCCUAGCUAAUGCUUCCAUGAAAGUGUUAGUUUCCCUUUUGUAAAAAUUCUAGAUUUUUAAGAUAUUCUUCUUCUCUCUCCUUACCUCCCCUGCCAACUUUUCUUCCUGAAUAACUAAUGCUGGGGGGGGGUGGAGGAGGGAGAUCAUUAUAUUUUGGUAACCA